CAGAGUGAGGGUCUCCGAACGGGGGCCCAAUCUUCCACCCGUGUUUAACUGUACCAUGUUGCUUCGGCGGGCCCACUAGGACGCAGCUCCUGGUCGCUGAGGGGAUAUCUCCCCUGGGCCAGUGCCCGCCGGAGAUUUUAUCAAUACUCUGAAUUUUCAAAUAGUUUUUGACUGAGUGAUAUUGAAAAAAAAAUUA
rnacentral:misc_RNA from 1 species